UUGAACGCUGGCGGCAUGCUUUACACAUGCAAGUCGAACGGCAGCGGGGGCUUCGGCCUGCCGGCGAGUGGCGAACGGGUGAGUAAUGCAUCGGAACGUACCCAGUCGUGGGGGAUAACUACGCGAAAGCGUGGCUAAUACCGCAUACGCCCUGAGGAUGAAAGCGGGGGACCUUCGGGCCUCGCGCGAUUGGAGCGGCCGAUGGCAGAUUAGGUAGUUGGUGGGAUAAAAGCUUACCAAGCCGACGAUCUGUAGCGGGUCUGAGAGGACGACCAGCCACACUGGGACUGAGACACGGCCCAGACUCCUACGGGAGGCAGCAGUGGGGAAUUUUGGACAAUGGGCGAAAGCCUGAUCCAGCAAUGCCGCGUGCAGGAUGAAGGCCUUCGGGUUGUAAACUGCUUUUGUACGGAACGAAAAAGCUUCUCCUAAUACGAGAGGCCCAUGACGGUACCGUAAGAAUAAGCACCGGCUAACUACGU
rnacentral:rRNA from 1 species